ensembl:snRNA U1 U1 spliceosomal RNA
AUACUUACCUGGCAGGGGAGAUACCAUGAUCACGAAGGUGGUUUUCCCAGGGCGAGGCUUAUCCAUUGCACUCCGGAUGUGCUGACCCCUGCGAUUUCCCCAAAUGUGGGAAACUCGACUGCAUGUGGGGGACUGCGUUCGUGCUCUCCCCUG